GUGCCUUUAGAACUCAAAGGCCCCCAAAACAUCAGUGAGCCAUUGUAACGGAGCACCUGUACACUGAGUGGUACCUUUGCUGUAGAUUCUCCUUUAGGUCCCGUAGUGAAGCAGUGAUUAUAACACUUGCAUACCCAUCAGUCGAGACUUGAUAAAGGGUACAAAAUGAACUGGUUUAUUAGGGCCAAGUUGCCUGCUUAUAUACACAGACUGCCAGCAUGGUGUCUCCAUUCACUACAAUAGUAAGCCCACCCAGGCAUCUGUGUCUGGGAGAUAAGG